CCUACGGGUGGCAGCAGUGAGGAAUAUUGGUCAAUGGCCGUAAGGCUGAACCAGCCAAGUAGCGUGAGGGAAGACUGCCCUAUGGGUUGUAAACCUCUUUUAUGCGGGGAUAAAGGUGUCCACGUGUGGAUGUUUGCAGGUACCGCAUGAAUAAGGACCGGCUAAUUCCGUGCCAGCAGCCGCGGUAAUACGGAAGGUCCGGGCGUUAUCCGGAUUUAUUGGGUUUAAAGGGAGCGUAGGCCGGUCUUUAAGCGUGCCGGGAAAUUUUGUGGCUCAACCAUGAGAGUGCGGCGCGAACUGGAGAACUUGAGUGCGCGGAAGGCAGGCGGAAUUCGUGGUGGAGCGGUGAAAUGCUUAGAUAUCACGAAGAACCCCGAUUGCGAAGGCAGCCUGCCGCAGCGUUACUGACGCUGAAGCUCGAAAGCGCGGGUAUCGAACAGGAUUAGAUACCCGGGUAGUC
rnacentral:rRNA from 1 species